rnacentral:rRNA from 1 species
UAGGGAAUCUUCGGCAAUGGACGAAAGUCUGACCGAGCAACGCCGCGUGAGUGAAGAAGGUUUUCGGAUCUUAAAACUCUGUUGUUAGAGAAGAACAAGGACGUUAGUAACUGAACGUCCUCUGACGGUAACUAACCAGAAAGCCACGGCUAACUACUUGCCAGCAGCCGCGGUAAUACGUAGGUGGCAAGCGUUGUCCGGAUUUAUUGGGCGUAAAGUGAGCGCAGGCGGUUUCUUAAGUCUGAUGUGAAAGCCCCCGGCUCAACCGGGGAGGAUCAUUGGAAACUGGGUGACUUGAGUCCAGAAGAGGAGGGUGGAAUUACAUGUUGAGCCGUGAAAUGCGUAGAUAUCUGGUAGAACACCAGUGGCGUAGGCGGCUCUCUGGUCUGUCACUGACGCUGAGGCUCGAAAGCGUGGGGAGCUAACAUG